rnacentral:tRNA from 1 species
ACAUCAGUGGUUCAAGUGUAGAAUGCUCGCCUCGUACGUGAGAGACCCGGGUUCGAGUCCCGGCUGGUGUG